UACAGAGGGGGCUAGCGUUGUUCGGAAUUACUGGGCGUAAAGGGCGCGUAGGUGGCCUGUUAAGUCGAACGUGAAAUCCCCGGGCUCAACCCGGGAACUGCGUCCGAGACUGGCAGGCUCGAAUCCGGGAGAGGGAUGUGGAAUUCCAGGUGUAGCGGUGAAAUGCGUAGAUAUCUGGAGGAACACCGGUGGCGAAGGCGGCAUCCUGGACGGUAACUGACGCUGAGACGCGAAAGCGUGGGGAGCAAACAGG
rnacentral:rRNA from 1 species